GCCAGCCCGCUCAGAACUCAAAGGAAUUGACGGGGCCGCACAAGCGGUGGAGUAUGUUGGUUUAAUUCGAUGCAACGCGAAGAACCUUACCUGGUCUUGACAUCCCGGAGACCCUUAGGAAACUAGGGGGUGCUUCCAUCUGGAAGAAUCUGGAGACAGGUGCUGCAUGGCUGUCGUCAGCUCGUGUCGUGAGAUGUUGGGUUAAGUCCCGCAACGAGCGCAACCCUUGCCUUUAGUUGCCAGCAGUUCGGCUGGGCACUCUAAAGGGACUGCCGGUGUUAAACCGGAGGAAGGUGGGGAUGACGUCAAGUCCUCAUGGCCUUUAUGACCAGGGCUACACACGUACUACAAUGGCCGAUACAAAGGGCAGCGACACUGCGAGGUGAAGCCAAUCCCGUAAAAUCGGUCUCAGUCCGGAUUGGAGUCUGCAACUCGACUCCAUGAAGUUGGAAUCGCUAGUAAUCGUGGAUCAGCAUGCCACGGUGAAUACGUUCCCGGGCCUU
rnacentral:rRNA from 1 species